UUACUUUUUCUCGGUUCAGGCAUUUUUUUUAUUUUUUUUUUUUUAGCGGGAACCUCGAUUCCUCUCUGACACUGAACCCCAACAUCUUACCGGAUCGCACUCUGAACGUGCACUUAUCUGAAUUCAACCUCGGUUUGAAUUGUCUCCACCAGAUGCCCCACUCCUGUUUGGGACUUUGCUAUCAUGUCAUAGCAUAGCAUUCAACUUCAUGAUGAAUCAUAUCAUGAAACAAAGUCACCAUGGCUCUCUGAUACAGGCACUGGCGUUCUGUUCCUCUAGAGGACAGUCUUCUCUCCAUGGCAGCGUGUGCACAACGACAUUGGUACUUGACCUGGCAUAUCCUGACAUGACCAGGUAAAAGUAUCCACAUGCUCUUUCAACAAGGCUACCAUUCUACUCUCGAUUCGCCUCUGAAGCGGCCUCAUUUUCCUAUUUCCUUCCUGACCUCGGCGGUGCUUGGUACAACAAUCUCAACCCGCUUCACGUGCGGCUGAAUCACCUUCUCCUCUUGUUUAAACAACCUGGC
rnacentral:lncRNA from 1 species